rnacentral:sRNA from 1 species
AGAGAGAGAGGACACAAUAGUGCCAUGGAACAUGUGGUUGUUGGCCUCGUUCUCAUCUUCUCCAAGUAGAAGGUUAUGUAUGUGGCUUAAUGUACAGCUAAGGGAAGAAAUUCCCUGAGUCUUUGACUGUGAUAUGGGAGACUGGAAUACUACUAUGAACAACCUACCGGUCUGAUGCUGAGCAGAUCAUAACGGCUUUGUUCUACCCAUCUUCACACAGGUUCCUGCGCAUGCCCAACUCACCGUGCUGCUGGGCGCAUAGAGAGAAUACAUCCAUCCCUUUGCAUUUCUCAUUGACUUCCUACCUUCUGCUAUGACAGCUAUCGCGACCAAAAUCGUAGGUUAAGCCUUGAAAGCAAGACUAUUCAACCCAAGUAUACAUGGGCUGUAUAUCUAAGUUUUCUUUUGCCACAUUUUUAAAUGUUAAAAAAAAACAUAGAAGCUAAUUCCUAACAGCUCAUUUACUAUAACAUAAUCAAAUAGUAUUACUUUGAUAUUCAGUCAAUAUGUACACAAUGUAUCAACGUAGUUAUUUUUAUAUUUGCCUUCAAAACGUGGUAUUUUAUACUCAAAGGACAUCUCAGCAUGGACUUUAUAUAUUUCACAAGCUUGGUAGCCACGUGUGACCAGCGGCUUUACAACCCCCACCCUCACCCCACUCUCCACUGUUGCCCUCUGCCCUGUGUGAUUGCCAAAAGCAAUGCUGUCACCUUCUGGGAAGAUCUCAGAGACUCACAUGCAAUUAAAAAUGGCCGAAAGUCAUGAGGUGGGCUCAGGGUUCCUUCUGUGUCACCUCUAACAUUCCUGCUUGAUUUAUGCUGCCGGGAUUUUUUUUUUUUUUAAAGUAUACUCGUUUGUUCUCCUGCUCCAGAGGUGACCUUACAAUGGAGAUCAGCACAGUUUCUCGUAUCUGGUAAGCAUCCCUGAUUGUGGAAAUGGUUUUGACCUAGCCAACAAGACAGUGUUGGUUGUAAUUUGUUCCCAUUUGGUGGGUACAAUUGUACCCUGCCCCGUCUUGCCUGGGAAAUUUAUCUCCUCUGUCCUGCACCAUGUUUUAGGCCAUGCCUCUUUUCCUCCGUAUUUCUCAGGACAUCGAGACAGCAAACUUAACAGGACCGGAUAGCCAAGAUCUAGGUACAAGUGCUAGGAGCAAGAGUGAGUCCAAUAUGACCCCAGGGAUCCUUUAAGUGAGGCAAAGAGGCAGAAAAUGAAGACUUCUUAAUUUGAGGAUGGAGGUAAAUGCCCAGAGACAACGAAAGAGCGGGCUGCUGAGCCAGAAAAGGGCAAGACGGACAAUCCUCGGGGUCUCUGUGAGGAAAGAAACUGAGCCGACGCCUGGACACCACUCCUGUGAGCCUCAUCUCCAACCUCAAACCUCCAGUCCUGUAAAGAAAAAGGCCCCCACAAACUUCAUGGUCAUUUUGCAGCAGACCCGUGUUGUUUUCCACAGCCGAUGCUGGAAGGCCAGCACUUCCUGUGUUAGCCCUACUGUGCUAUUCUAGCCCAUCAGCAGAAACAAGGUAUUAGGCUACCUCCUAUUUUAACAGGGUGCUCUUGAAAUUCAGAUGUCUCUCCUGUGCAGAGAGGGCUACAGAUGUCAAGGCCUGCCUCCUGGCUGAGAGGAAGGGGUCGCUCCGCCGGGGAAGCUCACACACACUGGUCUUAUCUACUUAGAGUUCAGGAGUUCUCAAUGGUAAUGGACACUCAGUCUCUCUAGAUAUCUUCACUGCACUGAAAGUACGACAUCCAAUCGGAACCUCGAACUUAGCCAUUCACCUUCCCCCCCUGAAAGCUCGGUAUCUCAGCCCCAGACAGCACAAGUUACACUUUAUUCUAAAAUCCCACCACAGAUUCUACCUAAACACUCACAUUUUCACAAAACUCACCCUCACUUUUUUUUUCCUCUGACACAACUCUAUUAGUGUUACACAUGGAACUUCAUGUUUUCGUAUCACUUCCCCUAAUUACCACCUCCUCAAGCUGCCGUGAAAUCACCAGUAACACAAGGGGCGGACUUCACUGCGGACUCUGCGAUUUUCAGUACAGGGCAGUGAGUUUAUUGACACAUCUUGCUCUUUUCUUCUCUCCUGCUACAUGAGCAGCUUGCAGUUCUCCCUCAUACAUGCCCACACUCCAGUCUCAGAGCUUCCCGCACUGGUGUAAACCUCUCGAUGACUGUUUUCUAAUCUGUGCUCUAUUCACAAGUGUCAUGCCUUAAUCUCAGGAACUGUGCUCACCCACUUAAUUCCUCGUGAUCUGGACUUGGGGCACACUCUGCCCACCACUUGUUAGUAUUUAUCAAUGCUGUGCAAGGCCUCAGCCACCUCCAGCCACUGACCAGUAUGCUGCUUUGCCGUUCACAGUGCAGUCGGGAGAUUACAGGAUAACCAGGAAGUGGUGCAGAGCUCUGAAAAAGGAAUGGAUCCUGUGCCAUUAGAAUUCAAGUAUGAGAAAGAGGUCACUCCCAACUUAAGAAAGCUCUUGAGACCAGGGGGUGGAAAAACUAUGAUCCAUGGCAGUCUUGGAAGAUUGGUGAACAUAGACAAAAUUAAUAUACUUUUUAAUGUAUCAUAACCACUAAAUGAAAUGGAAGCGA